CCUACGGGUGGCUGCAGUGAGGAAUAUUGGUCAAUGGGCGGAAGCCUGAACCAGCCAAGUCGCGUGAGGGAAUAAGGCCCUACGGGUCGUAAACCUCUUUUGCCGGGGAGCAAGGGCGGGGACGCGUCCCGGCCCGGAGAGUCCCCGGAGAAAAAGCAUCGGCUAACUCCGUGCCAGCAGCCGCGGUAAUACGGAGGAUGCGAGCGUUAUCCGGAUUUAUUGGGUUUAAGGGGUGCGUAGGCGGGCUUUUAAGUCGGCGGUAAAAAUUCGGGGCUCAACCCCGGCCGGCCGUUGAAACUGGGGGCCUUGAGUGGGCGGGAGGAAGGCGGAAUGCGUGGUGUAGCGGUGAAAUGCAUAGAUAUCGCGCAGAACCCCGAUUGCGAAGGCAGCGUGCCGGGGCGCUACUGACGCUGAGGCACGAAAGUGCGGGGAUCGAACAGGAUUAGAUACCCGAGUAGUC
rnacentral:rRNA from 1 species